rnacentral:tRNA from 1 species
ACUUUUUUAGUAUACAAGUACAAGUGGCUUCCAACCACUCAGUCCUGGUUUAAGCCCGGGAAAAAGUA